rnacentral:rRNA from 1 species
CCUACGGGGGGCUGCAGUCGAGAAUCAUUCACAAUGGGGGAAACCCUGAUGGUGCGACGCCGCGUGGGGGAAUGAAGGUCUUCGGAUUGUAAACCCCUGUCAUGUGGGAGCAAAUUAAAAAGAUAGUACCACAAGAGGAAGAGACGGCUAACUCUGUGCCAGCAGCCGCGGUAAUACAGAGGUCUCAAGCGUUGUUCGGAAGCACUGGGCGUAAAGCGUGCGUAGGCUGUUUCGUAAGUCGUGUGUGAAAGGCGCGGGCCCAACCCGCGGACGGCUCAUGAUACUGCGAGGCUAGAGUGAGGGAGGGGGAAGCGGAAGUCGCGGUGUAGCAGUGAAAUGCGUAGAUAUCGGGAGGAACACUGGUGGCGAAGGCGGGUUCCUGGACAUUAACUGACGCUGAGGCACGAAGGCGAGGGGAGCGAAAGGGAUUAGAUACCCGAGUAGUC